rfam:Cavia porcellus supercont2_3 genomic scaffold, whole genome shotgun sequence.
GUGGCCCUGAAUCAAGGCCAGCAGUUUGUUGUAGCUGCUGAUUUUAAACAGGAGCCUAAAGAGAAGUCGUUCCAGGGUCUGAUGGCCAUUUUAGAACUUUGAAAAUAUAAAGGCCAAUUCAUUGGAAAUAGCUUAGA